AUAUGGGUGAUAUCGAAAUGGACGAUAUCUAAAUGGGUGAUGACCUUGUUUGCCAUCAGUGUCCAGAAAAACCCAAUAUGUAGUUCAGUUUUCGAUAUUACCAAUGCCUAAUUAUUACUCAAUUAUACCCCACUAGCAUAUAUCCAUAGCAUAGACAAGUUUACCAUUCUAUUUUCACUGCAUUAAGAAAUUCACUGCAUCAUCACCCUUAUAGUUUAAUAUCGACAUUUUACAGGUAAAUCAGCAACCAGACAAGACAAAACGCCGCGACCCCGACAAACGGAAAACAUUCAUAAUUGACGACAUCACCCCGACCAAAGACAACGUAGACUUCCUGCCCAAAAGGGACGAGGCCGUAGACAAGCGGAAAACGUUCAUUCUGGACAGCGAUACGAAUUCGACGACUAACGGCAGUAGUCCGAGGAACUCCUCGAUAUUCAGCCACGAGAAGAAUUCGCUGACGACCGGCACUAGUGACACGGAGGGCGAGAGCGGGACGGAGAGUGCGCCGGUGGUGAUGCGCCACCCGGCCGGGAAGAGGGCGCCUGCGCAGGCCAAACAGAGGUACAGCGGUGACUAUUCAAUGUCCUCGUCGACGACCUCUAUAAGCCAGAAGCGGCCCAAAGAGAUCCAGCCUCGUUAUCUCGACAUAUCCAAAUAUAAGUCAGAGAGCUCGCCCAAGAACUUCUUGCGGCGAGAUCCGAGCAAGACCUACGUUGGGGUGCUGCCUAAUUGUGACAGGGGUAAUGUCAGUAAGGGGAGUGCACAGCACUACGAAAUGGAACAAAAGAAGCAAGAAUUAGAGAAGUGGAAACGAAGAGCAUCAUACGAUCCGAGAAAAGCCGCGGCGCUCGGAAAAACAAAUAAAACGCCGCCAAAAACUGCCAGAGCGUGACAGAUGUCAAAGUGCAUGCAAAUAUGGCCAAAGUGAUAAGUGGGCAGCCAUCUUGUUUCGUAAGUGUCCUACGUUCUCAGUCGUUCCAUGGGCCCGUACUUGUGUCUACAAGUCUUCGCUACCAACCACCGCCCACGCAAAUAACAGAGAACUACGACCAUUCGAGCGACAACGACUUCUAACGCGACCGCUUAAAGUCGACAAUACGAUGGCAUAAUGUGAUAAUGUGCGUGCAAGGUCCAGAUGUGAAUGUAUGAUGAAACGAAUUUGUUUGUAUUUGUAUUGUCUAUAAAUUAUUCGUAAUAUUAAUAAAAUUAUUUACGAUAAAUAUCAUAGUGAGGUUAGUGUUGUAUCAUUAGCGAGUUUAGAGUACGCCCCGUUGCGUUUGCCAGUUGCAGUUUUUAUAAAGUUAUCUGUCAAACAUGAUAGAUCAGUUUUCGCGCCAAAACACCAUGAACAAAGAUGGAGGAUUGCGUUUUGUUCAAACUUUUUUGUAUGUGCAAUUAGAGGUAUCUUUGAAUUAUUGAAGAAUAGCAAUUUAACAUUUUUUUUUUUGUAUAGAAUAGAUAUAUGCUUAAGUUAUAUAAAAAAAAAAUUCAUUUUACAUUAUUUAAAUUAUAAAUUCGCAUGAAUAUUUGUGAUUUUAUGCAGGUUCAAUUCAAAUGUACCUCAAUUGCUACUUUUUUUUAAUUCUUAUCAGUCAUAUUAUUUUUAAUUUUGACUUUUUUGUAAAUUAAACGAAUGGAUUUUGGGGUGAUGCAAUUAUUAGUUAUUACAUAAUGAUCUUACAUUAUUUCUAUAUUUAUCGAUUCGCACAAAUGUCGAAGACAUCUUGGAGAAGUACAGCAAUGAAUUAAAAAUAUGUUUUUUUUUAUUGGAUUUACUAUGUAGAUUACUUUUUUUUUGUAAGUAUAUCUCUAUUCGUUGAAAGAUAAUGGAAAUUAAAUGUGAUAAUUAUAGCGUUAUUUGAUAUCAAUAAUUGUAUGUCAUUCUAUUAAGAUUAUUUUCUCUAUUAUAAAUAUCCAAUAUAUAUACAUUGGAUGCUUUAAGUAAAGCAUUAUUAUAAAAUUUGUAUUUGUAUUCAAAUAAAUUGCUCAUAUCAUUCAUACAGCGAUAUAAUUUAGUGUUUAGUUGUAGUUUUUUUUUUUUUUCUAAAAUAUAUACUCUUUUUAAUUUU
rnacentral:misc_RNA from 1 species